rnacentral:rRNA from 1 species
AUUGAACGCUGGCGGAAUGCUUUACACAUGCAAGUCGAACGGCAGCACGGGGGCAGCCCUGGUGGCGAGUGGCGAACGGGUGAGUAAUACAUCGGAACGUGCCCGGUCGUGGGGGAUAACGUAGCGAAAGUUACGCUAAUACCGCAUACGAUCUGAGGAUGAAAGCGGGGGACCUUCGGGCCUCGCGCGAUCGGAGCGGCCGAUGUCAGAUUAGGUAGUUGGUGGGGUAAAGGCCUACCAAGCCGACGAUCUGUAGCUGGUCUGAGAGGACGACCAGCCACACUGGGACUGAGACACGGCCCAGACUCCUACGGGAGGCAGCAGUGGGGAAUGUUGGACAAUGGGCGCAAGCCUGAUCCAGCCAUUCCGCGUGCAGGACGAAGGCCUUCGGGUUGUAAACUGCUUUUGUACGGAACGAAAAGGCUCUGGCUAAUACCUGGGGCUCAUGACGGUACCGUAAGAAUAAGCACCGGCUGACUACGUG